rnacentral:rRNA from 1 species
CCUACGGGAGGCUGCAGUGGGGAAUCUUGCACAAUGGGGGAAACCCUGAUGCAGCGACGCCGCGUGGAGGAUGAAGGGUCUAGGCUCGUAAACUCCUUUUUCAGGGAAAGACUUAGGACGGUACCCUGAGAAUAAGCUCCGGCUAACUACGUGCCAGCAGCCGCGGUAAGACGUAGGGAGCGAGCGUUGUCCGGAUUUACUGGGCGUAAAGAGCACGUAGGCGGUCUGUUAAGUGAGAAGUGAAAUCUCCAGCGCUCAACGCGGAAACGGCUUUUCAUACUGGCAGACUUGAGGGAUGCAGAGGCAAGUAGAAUUCCUGGUGUACCGGUGACAUGGGUUGAUAUCAGGAGGAAUACCAAUGGCGAAGGCAGCUUGCUGGGCAUCAUCUGACGCUGAGGUGCGAAAGCGUGGGUAGCAAACAGGAUUAGAUACCCUAGUAGUC